rnacentral:lncRNA from 1 species
UGACCUGCCCUCCACCCCCUCACGCCAAGAGGGGCAAAGUCUGGAGAGUUUCCCCAGUGAGAGGUACUGGGAAAAUGACUCCCUGGUCCUGGGUAAAACUUUUCUUUCUUUGUCAACCUCAGGAGCAAGUUAGUUUAUGGCCAAGUAUAUACACAGUGCUUCAAAUGCAAAGGAAGAAUCUCUCUCUUCAAAUGGUUUCAGGCUUAGAUGGGGAAGAAAUCUCUACACUCUAGAAAUGAAAUGAUGAAAGGACUUCACAAAGCAGUGGUACUCCCGAGCGAGCCAGGGGACUCACAGGCAGGACCGUAGAGCAGAGAAGACACUGGAGCUUUGGUGCUUGGAAAGACCUCCCUGAAAUCCUGGCUUGGCCACUGCCAACCUUAGCCUGUCAGCUCCACAAGGGCAGGACUGUGACCCGCUGAUAGCCAUGUGAACCUUUCACCAUGGUUCAUGUGCAUGGAAGGUGCUAGAAAAUAGCCAUCAAAUGAAGGACAAGAAGAAUGGCUGGGGACAGCUCUGGCGACAUCUUCUUGCUUUAGUGACGACAAAACUGAAAAAUGUUGGGCUCUCAUGCUGCCCAAACAUUCCACAGACAAGGACCAAGUACUGGGCUGGCUGGGGAAGUCCGGAAAAGAACAUCAUUGCUGACAUCAAGAAGGCCCUAGAAGGGGAGACAGGGGAGUAAACACCUGCCAUGGAAGGUGCCAAGUGCUAUGGU